GGAGAAAUUGUGUUUUUUGUUGUAAUGUUCUGCCUCUAUGUAGUUUGUGAUCAUGUAGGAUGUUUUUAAUGCUUAGGUAUGUGAAUAAUUCCCUAGACGGGAGGCUGAAUGUCUGUUGUAGUAUUGGGAAGGGUGUCACUCCCGCAUCAUCGAUCAAGGAGCUCACAUGGAGAAUACCCUGUCGUACCCAAGUAUCAAGGCACAGAUCGUGUGUGGAGUGUUAGUGAUUGCAAGGGCGCGGCAUGUAGGAGGUCUCUACCUAUUUCCAGUUUUAGGAUCGACUGUCUCCAUAUACGGAGCAGCAGUUUCGUCGGGGGUAGGAUAUUAGCGUCCUGUAGCUGCCGGUCCGAGCAUGCCCAAAGGGCAUCCUUUACCGUUCCUUUUGACAUACAGGCAUUUUCUAGUGCCAGCCAGACGGGGGAUGCCAUACCUUCCAGGAUCGUGAGGCCCUGUGCCAGUAUUGAUGCUUUGUAAUAUAGCUGAACGUUGGGCACACUAAGGCCUCCUUCCGAAAGGAGUCUCCAGAUCAAUUUAUGUGAGACUCGGGGAGGUUUUCUCUUCCAGAUAUGUGCGUUUAUGAUCGAUUGGAAUCUUUUCACUAUUGCGUUUGGGAUCGCUAUCGGCAGUGUACGGAAGAGGCAUAAGAUGUGUGGCAUAAUCAUCAUCUUAACAGUAUUAAUGCGCCCCAGCCACGAGAUCCCUUUAUCGUCCCAUUGUUUGAGUUGGAGAUCUAGUUUCCGCAGAAGCGAGAUAUGAUUCACUUUAGUAACUAAUGUGGGUGUGGCCCGUAAUUGAAUACCUAGGUACGAAAUCGAAGUUUUACGCCAAUCGAAUGGAUAUUCAGAUUUGAGGGUUUGUAGUGUGUGGUGUGGCAUGCGGAUUGCUAAUGCUUGCAAUUUUUUUUUCCGCAUUAUUCCUA